rnacentral:lncRNA from 1 species
CUCCCUUUUCUUCUACCCCUCCCACCGCGGAAGUCUGCUCCCGGGCGAAAUCGGAGACAAUUUCAAACUCCGAGAGGAGCAACCGAGCAAGCGAAAUAAACUGUACAACCACCAUGCACGUGCGACCAAAGUCUCUCGACCCUCCUCCAUUUCGAAUACUUCUCUCCUUAUUUCCGAAAUAUGCAUUGUUUUAACACUUCGUCUCGGUUCCAACAGAACGGAGAUACUCUUAACUGUGAACUUUGCAGACAAUCAAAACCUUUUUAAAAGCCAUCCCACCGUGACAACAAAGCGAUUAAGAUGUUUUCUAUUUCGUAAAUACCAUUUAAAAUUGCUAUAUUUUAUGCUCUGAGUUCUACAGUGUCUUAUUUGCACACUAUUUUGUGUCUGAUUUAAUCUAUAACCGAAAACAUAAUGUAUUAAGUGAAUACAUAUUUGCUCAGCUGAUAAGCUUUUUUAAUAUUUAUUCGGAGAAUUUUGCAUUGUAAAUAAACGGGACUACACAAAG